CUAUGAUCGACAACAAAAAGGUUGAGCAAUUCCUUUUAAAAUUUCUAUUUUCCCUUUAAAACUUUUAUUUUUCCAUUUAAUAUUACCAUCAAUUUGUGAAAAAUUAGCAAAAUAAGAAGAUCGGAUUUUGAAUCCUUCAAAAAAAGUUCCCUCCCCAAUUUUGAUUUCCCCCCAAGAAAUUAAUUCUCACUCCCAUUAACCUAAAUUUUAGGUCCCCAAUUCAUCCAUCUCAACUUGAGUAGUAAGUACGUGUCCCCCAAUUCUCUCUCUCUCAUUGGAGCUUCACACCGGCUGCGAUCCACAACUUUCGGUGGUGUUUUUCCGACCAUAAUCCACAGCCAUGACUCCUGAGUAUGACUACCUAUUCAAGCUUUUGCUCAUUGGAGAUUCGGGUGUCGGAGAGUCUUGUCUGCUUUUGCGGUUUGCUGUAAGUGCCGUGGAUCCUAUAUAAAUUACGCUCUUCAAAACUAGAUAUUACUAUUUUAAGAUAUCAUUCUUAUUCGUAUGAGUUUAACUACGCUUUCCGUUUAAAGUUCAUGCUAAUUUAUGAGAUGAAGUGUAACACCUAAAUGGAGCACCUUUAGAAUAUUUUGAUGAUAGGGCAAGAUGGCAGUAGUAUUAAUUACGGAAGUGAAAAGGAGGUCCAUUAUCUGUUUCAAUUUUCUAUUAUCAUUGCUUCAAAAUAUAUGUAUGUUGAUGCAACAUGAUGUACGAACGUUCAGCGAACAGUUCACGAACUGUUUGGUGGGAAGUUCGUUUGUGUUCGUUCGUUUACUAAACGGACGAACGCGGACAAUAAAUUUUGUUUGUUUAGUUAAAUGAACAAACAUGAACAUAGGUCGCGUUUGUUCAUUUAUGUUCGCGAACGUUCGGUAACGUGUCCGUUUAUGUUCGAUAGUUCAUUAAUGUUUUUAGUUUUUAUUAUAUAUUUAAAUUCUUCAAAAUUCCGACAAAUAAAAUAUUUGAUAAGUAUUGUGUAUUAGUGUAUCAUAUAACUUUCGGUGGUGUUUUUCCGACCAUAAUCCACAGCCAUGACUCCUGAGUAGUAAGUACUUCUUAUUGCACAACACUUUCACCUAUAUUAACCGUUGAACAAGCAGUCGAGAAGUCGAGCUUUUUGAAGUCCCAUCAUUCUUAACCCCAUCACUAGUUGGUGACUUCUCAAAGGGAAUGGCUGAAUCUGAUCACCAAAUUCACUCUGCUGAGAUCAAACUUCCAUGACAAUACUAUUUCUAUAUGGAAUCACAAACAGCAUUAGUUGUCCCGGAUGAAGACAACUGCAUGGUGGUUUAUAGUUCCAGUCAGGUCCCUGAAUCGGUACAAAGUAUCAUUUCCCGGUGUCUUAAUAUUCCCGAACACAAUGUUCGUGUGAUUACACGACGAGUUGGUGGCGGUUUUGGUGGAAAGGCUAUUAAAGCUAUGCCCAUGAGUAUCAAUUAUUAUACAUUUAUACUACCAGUUUUUCGUUAUAAUAAUUUUGCGUUUUGUUACGAAUAUUGAUAAUAUAGGUUGCGGCAGCAUGCGCACUUGCAGCUUACAAACUACGCCGUCCUGUAAGAACAUAUGUAAAUCGAAAAACCGACAUGAUAUUGGCAGGAGCAGGAAGAAGACAUCCAAUGAAGAUAAAUUACACGAUUGGAUUCAAAUCUAAGGGGAAAAUCACAGCCCUACAUCUAGAUGUUUUAAUCAAUGCUGGGAUGUCAAUAGAUGUUAGCCUUAUAAUACCAUGGAAUUUCGUUGGUUCACUCAAGAAAUACAAUUUUGGUGCCUUGUCAUUUGACAUUAUACUAUGUAAAACCAACAAUUCUUGUAAAUCCGCAAUGCGGGCCCCAGGAGAAGUGCAAGGAUCAUAUAUAGCUGAAGCGAUUAUAGAACACGUGCGACUCACCUUUCGUUAGAUGUAGGGUUGGUUAGGGAGAUGAACUUUCAUAAUUAUGAUAGCUUGAAGUUAUUCUAUGGUAAAGAGAUUGAAGAAGAUCAUGAAAAAAAAAGGUUGAGCUGGAAGCUAUGCAAAAAGACAUUGACAGACAACGACAAAACUUGGAAGCUAUGAUGCAGAAAGUUAUGAAACGACUGUCUGUUGGAGAUCGAGAUGAGUAGAAUGUUUCUGUUUCUUUUUAGUAUUGUAUUGAAACUUUGUGUUGAACACAUUGUUAUUUAUGUUUGAACAAGUAUGUUAAAGUA